rnacentral:RNase_P_RNA from 1 species
GAAGCUGACCAGACAGUCGCCGCUUCGUCGUCGUCCUCCUUCGGGGGAGACGGGCGGAGGGGAGGAAAGUCCGGGCUCCAUAGGGCAGGGUGCCAGGUAACGCCUGGGGGGGAAGCCCACGACCAGUGCAACAGAGAGCAAACCGCCGAUGGCCCACGCACAUGGGAUCAGGUAAGGGUGAAAGGGUGCGGUAAGAGCGCACCGCGCGGCUGGUAACAGUCCGU